UACAGAGGUCCCAAGCGUUGUUCGGAUUCACUGGGCGUAAAGGGUGCGUAGGUGGUCGGGUAAGUCUGAUGUGAAAUCUCCGAGCUUAACUCGGAAAUGGCAUUGGAUACUAUUCGGCUGGAGGUUUGGAGGGGGGACUGGAAUUCUCGGUGUAGCAGUGAAAUGCGUAGAUAUCGAGAGGAACACCAGUGGCGAAGGCGGGUUGCUGGGCUGACACUGACGCUGACAGCGCGAAAGCUAGGGGAGCGAACGGG
rnacentral:rRNA from 1 species